AUUGAACGCUGGCGGCAGGCCUAACACAUGCAAGUCGAACGGUAACAGGAAGCAGCUUGCUGCUUUGCUGACGAGUGGCGGACGGGUGAGUAAUGUCUGUGAAACUGCCUUAUGGAGGGGGAUAACUACUGGAAACGGUAGCUAAUACCGCAUAACUUCGCAAGACCAAAGAGGGGGACCUUCGGGCCUCUUGCCAUCGGAUUUGCCCAGAUGGGAUUAGCUAGUAGGUGGGGUAACGGCUCACCUAGGCGACGAUCCCUAGCUGGUCUGAGAGGAUGACCAGCCACACUGGAACUGAGACACGGUCCAGACUCCUACGGGAGGCAGCAGUGGGGAAUAUUGCACAAUGGGCGCAAGCCUGAUGCAGCCAUGCCGCGUGUAUGAAGAAGGCCUUCGGGUUGUAAAGUACUUUCAGCGGGGAGGAAGGGAGUAAAGUUAAUACCUUUGCUCAUUGACGUUACCCGCAGAAGAAGCACCGGCUAACUCCGUG
rnacentral:rRNA from 1 species